AAGAAUUUCAAAUAUAAUUAUCAUUACUGUUGUAGGUAUACUUAGGUCCAAGAGAAUCUAUGUGAAAUCACAAUCGCUUAGGUUGUCACUUAUAUGGAGGCACAUCGAUGGAAUGCCCAAUUUUAUGGGAAUUCCAUAUCUCUGUCCCAUUAUGGAGCUAGGAAAAAGGACUGGCUGAGAGGUCAGGAGAUCUUAGCUCUGGAAUCACAGAAUCCAGGGAUGAAACACGAUCUUACUUAUCUUGUUAACUGAAUCCUGUGUACAAAAUUCCUAAAAAUAUUCAUCCAUUCUCUUCUUGAAUGCCUCUAAUUAUAGAAAUGCACUCAAUUUAAAAGCAGUCUCUCUGAUACUAGGGCAGGUUCUGAUUGUUAACAAGCUUUUUCUUUUAUUUAGUGGAAAGCAUCUCCUGAUAGCAUCCAAUCAUUGGUCUAGUUCUACCUUUUGGAGCCAAACUAUACCAACUGAAUGUCUACGCCUCUUAACCAUCUUAAUAAUAGCUACCACUUAUAGAGCACUUAUUAUGUGUGAAGAACUACUCUAAAGACUUCACAUAAUUAUUCUCAAGACAACACUACAAGGAAGGUGUAUCAAUAUUAUUUUCAUUUUAUAGACAAGGAAACUGAAGUACAGGAAACUAAUUUUUU